AGUCGAACGAGACCUUCGGGUCUAGUGGCGCACGGGUGCGUAACGCGUAGGCAAUCUACCCGAUACAGGGGAAUAACACGGGGAAACUCGUGCUAAUACCGCGUAAUAAAUGAGAAGGCAUCUUCUUAUUUUAAAAGCUUCGGCGGUAUCGGAAGAGCCUGCGUCCUAUUAGCUAGUUGGUAAGGUAACAGCUUACCAAGGCGACGAUAGGUAGGGGAACUGAGAGGUUGAUCCCCCACACUGGUACUGAGAUACGGACCAGACUCCUACGGGAGGCAGCAGUGAGGAAUAUUGGUCAAUGGACGGAAGUCUGAACCAGCCAUGUCGCGUGUCGGAAGACGGCCCUCUGGGUUGUAAACGGCUUUUCUUUGGGAAGAACACGCUCUUGCGAGAGCAACUGACGGUACCAAAGGAAUAAGCACCGGCUAACUACGUGCCAGCAGCCGCGGUAAUACGUAGGGUGCAAGCGUUGUCCGGAUUUAUUGGGUUUAAAGGGUGCGUAGGCGGCUAUUUAAGUCGUGGGUGAAAGCCCGUCGCUUAACGACGGAAUUGCCUGCGAUACUGGAUAGCUUGAGUAUCGUUAAGGUUGGCGGAAUGGGAGGUGUAGCGGUGAAAUGCAUAGAUACCUUCCAGAACACCGAUUGCGUAGGCAGCUGACUAGGCGAUAACUGACGCUGAGGCACGAAAGCGUGGGGAGCGAACAGGAUUAGAUACCCUGGUAGUCCACGCCGUAAACGAUGAUGACUCGUUGU
rnacentral:rRNA from 1 species